UGCAAAUCUGAAGCCAUAUGGUAUGGGCUUGCAAUCUAUCGGCCACGUGGUCUCACAAAAAACAACUGGUAGCAUCGAUGGUGUGCUACGUAAACGACUCAUCCUCAUCAGUAGAAGAAUAAAUACAGAGAACUGCACGUCCACCGCCAUCCACUCUACUCAAGGCCAUCACGGAUUCAUGCGCUUGGCUUCCGUUUGUUUGCUAGCUCAAUGGCUUCUCCAAAAAUUUUGUGCUACAAACGAAAGCGGUGACUCGGUGCUGGUAGUUGACAUACAUGUCAGUGAACCGCUAAUGAAGCUAACCCAGGGCUUCCAUUUGUGCUCUCGACAGCUUCCGUUUUGGUGGUGAAUAUAUAUAUAUACACUGGUAUGCUUACAGUUUGGAAUUCAUUUUCUACAUACUCCUGACAGUGGCUCAUGAAUUCGUUUUCAAUCAUUCGCGUGCGAAACCCCUCUUCCAUCAAUUGUGACAGAGCUUCUAUUCAGGGUAAAACCUUUUGAUUUAUCUUUCUCCUCUCUGGUGUGUACUUCAUUUGUUCCUUUUUCUUUAGUAAGGUUUUGGAGAGCGUGAUUCUUAAUUUCGUUGACCCAAUCAAUCGGAGCAUGCCUGGUAUUCGCUAAAAUUCCUAUAAGAAAGUUGGUUAUGUUUUUUUUUUUUUUCCCUUCUUUUUUACCCUUGACUGUUUACUUUGUUUUUGGUAGAAGCUGUUUGCUACUUUAUUUCAAACAUGCCUUGAUGAAAUGCUAUAUUUCUUUUGGAUCUUUUA